GAUNAACGCUGGCGGUAUGCCUAACACAUGCAAGUCGUACGAGGGUUUUUAACUCUAGUGGCGGACGGGUGAGUAACACGUGAGAAUUUGCCUUUAGGAGGGGGAUAACAAUCGGAAACGAAUGCUAAUACCCCAUAUGCUUUUGAGUGAAAUGGAUUUAUCCGCCUAAAGAGAAGCUCGCGGCUGAUUAGCUUGUUGGUAAGGUAAGAGCUUACCAAGGCGACGAUCAGUAUCUGGUUUGAGAGGACGAUCAGACACACUGGAACUGAGACACGGUCCAGACUCCUACGGGAGGCAGCAGUGGGGAAUUUUCCGCUAUGGGCGAAAGCCUGACGGAGCAAUACCGCGUGAGGGAAGACUGCCUAUGGGUUGUAAACCUCUUUUUUCAGGGAGGAAUAAAUUGACGUGUACCUGAAGAAUAAGCAUCGGCUAACUCCGUGCC
rnacentral:rRNA from 1 species